GACGAACGCUGGCGGCGUGCUUAACACAUGCAAGUCGAACGGAAAGGCCCUGCUUUUGUGGGGUGCUCGAGUGGCGAACGGGUGAGUAACACGUGAGUAACCUGCCCUUGACUUUGGGAUAACUUCAGGAAACUGGGGCUAAUACCGGAUAGGAGCUCCUGCUGCAUGGUGGGGGUUGGAAAGUUUCGGCGGUUGGGGAUGGACUCGCGGCUUAUCAGCUUGUUGGUGGGGUAGUGGCUUACCAAGGCUUUGACGGGUAGCCGGCCUGAGAGGGUGACCGGCCACAUUGGGACCGAGAUACGGCCCAGACUCCUACGGGAGGCAGCAGUGGGGAAUAUUGCACAAUGGGCGGAAGCCUGAUGCAGCAACGCCGCGUGCGGGAUGACGGCCUUCAGGUUGUAAACCGCUUUCGCCUGUGACGAAGCGUGAGUGACGGUAAUGGGUAAAGAAGCACCGGCUAACUACGUG
rnacentral:rRNA from 1 species